CUCCAGUUGAUCGCAUGGUCUUCUGGGAAAGCUUUCGCGGUAUGGGAUGGGGUCGCGUCCUAUCAGCUUGACGGCGGGGUAACGGCCCACCGUGGCUUCGACGGGUAGCCGGCCUGAGAGGGCGACCGGCCACAUUGGGACUGAGAUACGGCCCAGACUCCUACGGGAGGCAGCAGUGGGGAAUAUUGCACAAUGGGCGCAAGCCUGAUGCAGCGACGCCGCGUGAGGGAUGGAGGCCUUCGGGUUGUAAACCUCUUUUAUCGGGGAGCAAGCGAGAGUGAGUUUAUCCGUUGAAUAAGCACCGGCUAACUACGUGCCAGCAGCCGCGGUAAUACGUAGGGUGCAAGCGUUAUCCGGAAUUAUUGGGCGUAAAGGGCUCGUAGGCGGUUCGUCGCGUCCGGUGUGAAAGUCCAUCGCUUAACGGUGGAUCCGCGCCGGGUACGGGCGGG
rnacentral:rRNA from 1 species